UUUUCCCAAAUUUUUGUUUGAGGAUCUUUUCCUAAUUUAAUUAAAACGAAUAUAGAACUUGGAAUUAUUUCGUCCAAGAAAAAAAAUGGAAACAAUACCCAAAUUUCUUUCUCCCUUCCUACCAGCGAAAACUAGUCCCCAAUUCCCCCGUUUCAGAUCCAAAGUCAAUCAACCCAAAACUCUCACUUCUUUGUUCACAAUCAAAACCCCAAAUUUCUUCCUCAAUCAAUCCCUAAUAUACUAAUUCCUGCACCUCAUUAGAAUUGAUAAACAAACCCUAAUUUCGGAAAUCUGAAUUUCAGUUAUGGAGCUUCAAUCGAUUCAAUACUGCAACUUUCUUCAUCAAAAUCUAUAUUAGCCAUGGAGGUUUUGUAUGGCGAUUCUAGUCGCAAGGCUCAAACAAUAGAUCUAACAGAACAAAGGAUAAUCACAAGCUCAAAGAGAAGUUGAAGAAAUUUUGGGGUGAAGAUCAUGUGUGCUUGGUCAGGGAUUUCACCGGUAAUUGGAAAGAUCCAAUUAAGGCAGUGCACAAAGGAGGCCCAAGAUUUGAAAUUGAAAUUCAACUACCAAAAGGGAAUUGGAGCUUUACGCGUUGUUGUUGUUGCAGGAUACCGAUGAACUACAGUCUGAAACCAAGUGUGCUCUCGGUAACAGUGGGAUGAAUGAGCCCCUAGGUGCUCGCUCGUGCCCGUUUGUUCUUAUGCUUGUUGCGGAGAGCUUCUCUCAUAUUGAAGUACACGAUGCGUUGCUCUUUAUUGACAACCAUUUUUUGUUUUACUCAAGUUGUUUGUGCCCACAUUAAUAAUAUGUAUUAUUGUCCCUUAUAGGAUCUUGUCAUAGUUAUGCAGACCUUAUAGUUUUUUUCUACUUUUUUUUUAUUAAUUUUUUUGGAGAAUACAUUUGAUGUAAUAUGAGAUUUUUAUAUAUAUCAAUAGUAUGAAUUAUUAUGAAA